rnacentral:rRNA from 1 species
CCUACGGGGGGCAGCAGUGGGGAAUAUUGGACAAUGGGGGCAACCCUGAUCCAGCCAUGCCGCGUGUGUGAAGAAGGCCCUCGGGUUGUAAAGCACUUUCAGUGAGGAAGAACGCCUGGUGGUUAAUACCCAUCAGGAAAGACAUCACUCACAGAAGAAGCACCGGCUAAACUCCGUGCCAGCAGCCGCGGUAAUACGGAGGGUGCGAGCGUUAAUCGGAAUUACUGGGCGUAAAGCGCGCGUAGGUGGCUUGAUAAGCCGGUUGUGAAAGCCCCGGGCUCAACCUGGGAACGGCAUCCGGAAAUGUCCAGCUAGAGGGCAGGAGAGGAAGGUAGAAUUCCCGGUGUAGCGGUGAAAUGCGUAGAGAUCGGGAGGAAUACCAGUGGCGAAGGCGGCCUUCUGGACUGACACUGACACUGAGGUGCGAAAGCGUGGGUAGCAAACAGGAUUAGAUACCCGGGUAGUC